CAAUUGUAAGCAUCGAACGGAGUUCCCUCGCCCUCCCAUUCCAUGGCCUAGACUCCGAAGUCACCCACUCCCUUUUCAGUCACAUCACCUAGAUUCCUACACCAUCUCGGCCAAGCACUUCUUGCACUUCCUCACAAACCCUAGAAAAUGUCGGGCGGCUUCUUCCGGGGUACUUCGGCCGAUCAAGACACUCGGUUUUCGAACAAACAAGCGAAGCUGUUGAAAUCGCAGAAGUUCUCUCCUGAAUUAGAGCAUCUGGUGGACAUGACGAAGGUGAAGAUGGAUGUUAUCAAACCGUGGAUUGCUAAUCGGGUGACAGAACUUCUCGGGUUCGAAGAUGAAGUUCUUAUUAACUUUAUUUAUGGUCUUCUGGAGAAAAAGGAAGUGAAUGGAAAGGAGGUUCAAAUAUCACUCACAGGAUUCAUGGAGAAGAAUACUGUGAAGUUUAUGAAAGAGCUUUGGACGCUUCUCCUUAGUGCGCAGAAGAAUGUAAGCGGUGUUCCUCAGCAGUUUUUGGAUGCCAAAGAAGAAGAAAAUAAGAAGAAGAAGGCUGAGGCAGAUAGGAUAGCAAAUGAGAUUGAGAAGAAUAAAUCUAAGGAAAGUAGAGAACUUGAGCAAGAGAGAUUGAAGAAAAUGGACGACAUAGCUGAAACGAGUGGAAUUAACCCUGCUUUGGAGCCAAACUUGAAGCCCAGGGCUUUGAGUAACCUUUCUAAGGAUGAGGAAGAAGCUGACAAGAGGAAUAAUGGCGUGAGAGGAAGGCACAGGGUUUCCGAAUCACCACAUCCAGCCAAACGUUCCCCUUCAUCCCCUCGAGGCUCUCCAUCUCAAUCAAUUAGCAGAUCCUUUUCUAAUGCCAAAAGCCAUUCGGAUGACAGACACAAGUCAAGGAGUUCAUCUAGAUCACCUAAAGCUCGAGGGCGAUCUAUUUCUGUGGGUAGGGUGUACCGUUCCCCACUCAGAUCUAUGACACCUCAUCGAAGGCAUUCACCUUUGCAUUCCCGCUCUCCUUCAAGACGGAGAUCAUCUUAUUCAAGGCGAAGAUCUAGAUCACGCUCACAUUGUAGAUCACCCUCUCCAGUGAGGCGUCGGUUGCGCUCUCCUUUUCGCCGCAGGUCACCUUCUCCAUUUCGACGCCGUAGGUCUCCUUCUCCAGUUCGACGCCGCAGAUCUCCUUCUCCUAUUAGGCGUCGCAGAUCUCCUUCUCCUGUUAGGCGUCGAAGAUCACCUUCUCUUAUUAGGCGUCGAAGAUCACCUUCACCUGUGCGACGACGUAGAUCACCCUCACCUAUUCGACGUAGAUCACCCUCACCUAUUCGACACAGAUCACCAUCUCCCUUUCGAAGAGGUUCUCUUGUACAACCACAAUAUCGAAGGUCUCCUCCCCGACGCAUCUCUCCACUUGUGCGGCGUAGGUCACCUAUACCCAGCCGUAGGAGAUCAUCGACCCCGUCCUUGCGUAGGUCUCCUUCACCCUACAGAUCAAGUUCUUCAUCUCCUAUACAGCGUACAUCUCCAUCACCAAUCAGGAGAAAAUCUCCAAUGCAACAUAGGAGCCCAAUGCGAUCCCCCAGAGAGAGAAUCAGGACACAUGAAAAACUGCCGCCCCUGGCAAGGCGAUCUAGUUCUUUGAGGUCUCCGCAGAGGGAUCCGGGAGUUCGAGGUGAUAUCCGCAAUAAAGUGUCAGUUUCAAAGUCUUCACCAGAGAGGUCUUUAUCUGUUUCAGAAUCCCCACCACCGGCUAGAAACAGGGUUCAUAAUGAAGAUAGGAAGUCAUUUAGUCCACGUCAGAGUCCUGUUAGGCAAACCGGGAAGCAAGUGAGCCGUGAUGGCAGCUUCAGUUCUGCACAAAAUCCUCAUUAUGACAGUCUAGAAACAAGUGAAGAAAGGGAAGAACCUAACUUUGUGAGGGAGGAUGUGGAUCAUACAUCAAAGUCGUCACAGAAAAGGUCCAUGCAUUCAUUUGCUGUCAACAAACAGAAAGAUCCACCUAUCAAGAUACGUUACAAGGAUGGACUUGCUCCUAAAGGAUUAGCAGAUCAUCAGGUUACUGAAUCCCAGGCUGCUUCUGAUACCAUGGAAUUGCGAAGGAAAGGAGAGGAAAUAAGAAGUGAUAAAUCUUCUGGGAGGGCGGUUCCUCCCGAAUCUUCAACAUUGUAUAAAGACUCUUCGGUAGGUGAUGGGAAACGUCCAUCAUACCCUGGAGAAAGUACUGAUGUGAAGAAUCGGUCUCGUCCAAACAAUGUUAAUAGCAAUCAACGUGAUGCAGAUGAUGUUCAAUAUUCAAUUGGAAAAGUUGAUCAUAAUAAUCAGACUGCUCCAUAUGAUUCCAGUUCUGAGAAAAGUGAUAAGCUCAAAAAUGAAUAUAAGAAAAGGAGAAAGCAUAAAAGAUCAGAGAGGAAGGAGGUUGAUUCAGAUGAUGAUGACAGUUACGAUUCUGAAUUGGAGGAUAGGAAGGAGGCAAAGAGGAGGAGGAGGAAGGAUGAAAAGAAACUGCGGAAGGAGGAAAAACGUAAACGGCGUGAGGAACGGCGUCGGAGAAGGGAAGAGCGGCGUGCAGGGAAGCUGAAAGUGAAGAAUCAGGAUGAUGUUUCUGGUUCUGAGGUUGAACAUACUGCAAGGAUGGAGUCUAAUCCAAGCGAUGAUGAAGAGAUGCAGUCUGAGCAGAAGAGGCUUGAGAUUGAGUUACGAAAGAAGGCUCUCGAAUCACUUAAAGCGAAGAAGGGCAUCAGUCACUAAAAUUUUUGCUGCCAUUGGAACCUUAAGCUGUUCUUUUUCUUAUGCCAUUUUUUUUGUCUUUAGUUUCUGUUGAACGUUAUGUUUUCAAACUUGCUAGGAAAUUUAUGCUUGAAAUGGUAUUGGUUACUGUUUGAUGUAUUUUAUGUUUACUGCUGGCAGAGGAAAUGGAUAAAUGAGGAUUUCCUGAGCUAUUCUCUUGAGUGCAACUUUAUGCAGAACUUGCUGCUUGAUUUUCUGAUUCAGUGGUGUCAAUUGUGGUUCAAAGUAACGUUGCAGGGGAAUCUAACUAUGUUGAUGAAAAUAAUGUCAACUAGAUGAUUUGGUUGAGCAGACAAUAUGCAGAUCUACAUUCUGAACAUCAAUUCAGCUUGAGAGUUGCUCGGACUUUGUUUUGUGAAAAUACUUCAUGGUGCUAUUGCUCUUGGACUCAUCCUGUCCCGAUGUUGAUAUUUGCUAUAAAGUCUGCAGAGAUGGCAUCAUAUAUGCAUAUAUGAUUAAUUGUGUGAGAAUAGGUAAUACUAUUUGUAUGAGCAGUUGCUUUUGCUUCCAUGGUUUGUGCAGAUGAUUCAUUUUAAUCCAGUUAAGAAAUAUCUCAAUAGUAUUUUUUU